CAUUACCUUCAGUAAGUAUGAAAACAAUACAAAAACAAAGCCCAAACCUGGUCAUUUUAAGCAAUUUAGAAAUCCCACUCAGGACUUGUCAUUACAUUUUCUGCUGUUUAGAUGUUUAUUGCAUUAUUGUAGUGUCAUGUAUGUUACCCUGGUGUUUUUCCUUGUCUCUGCAGUGACACAAGAAUUAGCCAUGUUUUAUGGAGAAGUGAACUCUGAUUCAUCAUGUGACUUUAUAUUUUACCACUUGUGUUCACAUGUUCGCCUGCCCAUUCAACCCUGCCAGGUAAUGGAAAACGAGCUUGGCUUGCUGUCAGUGAAGGAGGCUCGAACCCGAGGCUCAGCUCCGAUGCAUAAGUUCGAGUGAGAACAGACCAGGAAAGUCAAACACAGAUACCCAGGCAGCUCCAUUUUAGGAAAAACACCCAAUGCAACAUUGUGUCUGUGAACAGCAGUGCUAAUGGGCUGGUAUACAUUUGACUUGGUCUGCUCUCAAAUGGUAAUCUUCUCUGAAAUAGAGGAAAAAUUCAUUUACACACUCCUACUGCUGAUACACUUCACCAACGGCUCUCUGCUGACCGAACGCAGGGAAAGUUCAUUCUAAAUGGGUGGUUGUGUUAAAAUCUGGCUUAGAGCAGAGCAGGGGUGAGCACAAGGAGGAAUGCAGGAAAGAGUAGCGCUCCAGUUGGCUCAAAUCUGACCACAGAUUACUUAGUGCUUAG
ensembl:lncRNA